AUACUUUGGUGCACAAAUAUUGUCUCCAACUACAGGAACAGUCUUGAACAACGAAAUGGAUGAUUUCUCCAUGACACUGUAAAUGAGAAACCUCCUGCUGAGUUUUGUAGUUUGGAAGCUUUUUGUGCUGAAAAUUUUCCAAUGCGAUACUGUUGUGUUCUUUGCUUAUGUGAAAUCGAGUGUCUUUUGGCUAUUUGGUUAAUGCGUUCACUUCUGGAGUUGGGUGUUGUGGUUUUCCUAUAUUUCUUGAGUUGAGAAACAGUGGCCCAGAACCUAUAUGAAAACUCGGUUAUUCAAAAUUUCUGCAAAUAAAGCAACGUAACCGAAGAACAUCAACUUUUGAAAUUAAAGCAAUGUGCAGUAGAUUCUGUUGGAGACAGUUUCAUAGUGGAUGCAUACGCGCGCAGGAAGCCCAACAAAAACUCAUCAACAAUCCCCAAUCACUGAAGCUCACUAAUCCAAUCCCAAACUCAUAUCCAUCAAAGAAAGAAUUAAGCCGAAAACACAAACCUUCUAAGAAUGAAUUCGAAACCACCACAGGCUCGGAUAUAGUGAAAUUGAACAUGGCUAUCACAACCCACAUGCGCAAUGGCCAAUGUGAAUCCGCCCUUAGAGUAUUCAACUCCAUGCCCUCUCGAAGCACGGUCUCAUACAAUGCAAUGAUUUCUGGGUACUUAAUGAAUGGCAAGUUUGAUCUUGCAAGAGAAAUGUUUGAUAAAAUGCCUCAUAGAGAUUUUUUUUCUUGGAAUGUGAUGCUAAGUGGGUAUGUGAGGAAUAAAAAUCUUACUGCUGCUCGUGCACUGUUUGAGAAAAUGCCCAAAAGGGAUAUUGUCUCUUGGAAUGCAAUGCUGUCUGGGUAUGCACAGAAUGGGUUUGUUGAUGAGGCAAGAGAAAUUUUUGAUAAGAUGCCGUUUAAGAAUGCGGUUUCAUGGAAUGGUUUGCUGGCAGCAUAUGUGCACAAUGGAAGGAUAGAUGAUGCAAGGAGGUUGUUUGAAUCAAAAUUGGAUUGGGACAUUGUUUCUUGGAAUUGUUUGAUGGGUGGAUUUUUGAGGAGGAAGAGGUUAGCCGAUGCGAGGAGGCUUUUUGAUAAGAUCCCUGUGAAAGACGAGGUUUCAUGGAAUACUAUGAUUACAGGUUACGCACAGAAUGGAGAACUAGAAGAAGCACAGAGAUUGUUUGAGGAGUCUCCAAGCCGGGAUGUGUUUACAUGGACAGCAAUGGUUUCUGGAUUCGUGCAAAACGGGAUGUUGGAUAAAGCAAGAAGCAUUUUUGAUAGGAUGCCUGAGAAGAAUUCAAUUUCAUGGAAUGCAAUGAUUGCAGGGUAUGUACAAUGUAAAAUGUUGGACAUGGCAAAUGAACUGUUUGAGGCAAUGCCUUGUAGAAAUAUUAGUUCUUGGAAUACAAUGAUCACAGGAUACUCUCAGAGUGGGGAAGUAGCCCGUGCAAGGAAUUUGUUUGAUAGGAUGCCUCUGCGUGAUUCCAUCUCUUGGUCAGCCAUGAUUGCUGGCUAUGUUCAAAAUGGUUAUAGUGAAGAGGCUGUACAUCUUUCUGUAGAAAUGAGAAGAGAUGGAGAAAAGUUGAACAGGUCCUCAUUUACCUGUGCUUUAACUGCAUGUGCCAAUAUUGCAGCUUUGGAGUUGGGGAAGCAAUUGCAUGGUUGGCUAGUUAAGUCUGGAUACCAGACUGGAUGUUUUGUGGGGAAUGCUCUUCUUGCAAUGUAUUGCAAGUGUGGAAGCAUAGAUGAAGCACAUGAUGCAUUCCAAGAACUAUCAGAUAAGGAUUUAAUCUCAUGGAAUACAAUGAUUUAUGGUUAUGCAAGGCAUGGAUUUGGUAGAGAGGCACUGAUGGUUUUUGAGUCAAUGAAGACAAUGGGUGUCAAGCCCGACGAUGCCACUAUGGUUGGUGUGUUGUCUGCCUGUGGUCAUACUGGCUUAGUAGACAAGGGAACUGAAUAUUUUUACUCAAUGAGUCAAGAAUAUGGUAUCACAGCAAAAUCAGUACAUUACACUUGCAUGGUUGAUCUUUUAGGUCGAGCUGGGCGCUUGGAUGAGGCCCAAAAUUUGAUGAGGAACAUGCCUUUUGAACCAGAUGCCGCAACGUGGGGUGCUUUACUUGGUGCAAGCAGGAUCCAUGGCAAUACUGAAUUAGGCGAAAAGGCUGCUGAGAUAAUUUUCAAGAUGGAGCCUGAUAAUUCAGGAAUGUAUAUUCUUCUCUCAAACUUGUAUGCAGCUUCAGGAAGAUGGCCUGAUGUUAGUAAGAUGAGACUGAAAAUGAGGGAUAAAGGUGUGAAGAAGGUACCUGGGUAUAGUUGGCUUGAAGUGCAAACUAAAAUUCAUACAUUUACGGUUGGGGAUUGUUUUCACCCAGAAAAGGAUAAAAUAUAUGCAUUUCUAGAAGAGAUGUACAUGAAAAUGAAGCAUGAGGGAUAUUUAUCCUCUAUAAAAAUGGUUUUACAUGAUGUGGAAGAGGAGGAAAAGGAGCAAAUGCUCAAGUAUCACAGUGAGAAAUUGGCUGUAGCAUAUGGGGUUCUUUCUGUGCCUACUGGAAGACCUAUUCGUGUGAUAAAAAAUUUGCGGGUCUGUGAAGAUUGUCACAAUGCCAUCAAAUAUAUAUCCAAGAUCACAGGAAGGUUGAUCAUCUUAAGAGAUAAUAAUCGCUUUCACCACUUCAAAGAAGGUUCUUGUUCUUGUGGGGAUUAUUGGUGAAACAGGAAAAAAAUAUUUAGGAUCGCUGAUGCAUUUGAAUGUAUUCUCCAUACCUGUUAAGUAUAGGCAUUUUCUCUGCUCAACCAGUUAACUGUUGUCAACUCUUAAAAUGAAAAAAUAGAAAUCAGCAUUGCUGUAACUUUGUUUCUCUUCAUCUCUGUAACAUUGUUCUCAUCUGCAACUUGUUUCAAUCUUUAUUCUUUCACUAUAAGGGGAAAAGCUAAAACGGAUGUUCGGUUUGGUUCAAAA
rnacentral:misc_RNA from 1 species